CCCAUAAUGCGGCCCGGCCCCAUCGGUCGGACGGUCACAAGCCCGUGGGAACGCAGAGUGUGGA
rnacentral:ribozyme from 2 species